ACGGGAACUAGCCUGGGUGGUUAGACGUCACCUGUGACCCGAAACCGUCGACAUGCGGGGGGCGAAGUCUGAGGAAGGCCGUGGCAGCCUCCGGGAAGGGGGUUCAUCCGACUGAGAAGCCUCGUCCUGUGAGGUCAGCGGACAGGGACCAAUCCUCCGGAGGGAGGUGAGGCCUGUUGCCGUGGGAACCGGUCCAGGCCCGGAAGGGAGCAGACUCACCGCGGACGUAUGGCGCCCACGGGGUAGCGGGGUGGAGAAGGAUGGCCUCUGGAACGGGGGUAUGUACGGACAACCGAUGACGCGUUCCCAA
rnacentral:SRP_RNA from 1 species